rnacentral:rRNA from 1 species
AGCAGCCGCGGUAAUUCCAGCUCCAAUAGCGUAUAUUAAAAUUGCUGCAGUUAAAAAGCUCGUAGUUGAAUUUCGGGACUAAUAUGUCGGUCGUGCCUCGGUACGUACUGGCAUUGUUGGCUUCUCCCUUCUGACGAACCAUGAUGUCAUUUAUUUGGUGUCGUGGGAAAUCAGGACUGUUACUUUGAAAAAAUUAGAGUGUUUAAAGCAGGCUCACGCUUGAAUACAUUAGCAUGGAAUAAUGAAAUAGGACGUUUGAUUCUAUUUUGUUGGUUUCUAGGAUCGACGUAAUGAUUAAUAGGGAUAGUUGGGGGCAUUAGUAUUCAAUUGUCAGAGGUGAAAUUCUUGGAUUUAUUGAAGACUAACUACUGCGAAAGCAUUUGCCAAGGAUGUUUUCAUUGAUCAAGA